ensembl:snoRNA
CCUCUCUCUCUCAAAAUAAAUAAAUAAAGUACUGAGGCAGAUGUAAAUGGCUCUGGUUCCCUCGGCGUCAUGUCUUUGGUGUCCGCAGCUUCCGGUCUGCGGGUUCUACCCUCAAGCGCCGGGACAUCG